CUUUUCGAGGUAGGAGUCGAGUACUGUAAGGUAUGGUGCUGGGUGCAGAUGCAGUGUGGCUCUGGAUAGCACCUUAUGGACAGUUGUGUCCCCAAGGAAGGAUGAGAAUAGCUACUGAAGUAAGUUGAAAAUUCCCUCUCAAAAAGAUUUAAAGCCAUUGGAUGUGCCACAAUGAUGACAGUUUAUUUGCUACUCUUGAGUGCUAGAAUGAUGAGGAUCUUAACCACCAUUAUCUUAACUGAGGCACCCAAAAUGGUGAUUUGGGGAACAUAGAGAGUACACCUAAGUUCACAUGAAGUUGUUUCUUCCCAGGUCCUAAACAGCAAGCCUAACUCAAGCCAUUGGCACACAGGCAUUAGACAGAAAGCUGGAAGUUGAAAUGGUGGAGUCCAACUUGCCUGGACCAGCUUAAUGGUUCUGCUCCUGGUAACGUUUUUAUCCAUGGAUGACUUGCUUGGGUAAGGACAUGAAGACAGUUCCUGUCAUACCUUUUAAAGGUAUGGAGAGUCGGCUUGACUACACUGUGUGGAGCAACUUUUAAAGAAGCAAAGGACUCAGAAUUCAUGAUUGAAGAAAUGCAGGCAGACCUGUUAUCCUAAACUAGGGUUUUUAACGACCACAACAAGCAAGCAUGCAGCUUACUGCUUGAAAGGGUCUUGCCUCACCCAAGCUGGAGUGCAGUGGCCUUUGAAGCUUACUACAGCCUCAAACU
rnacentral:sRNA from 1 species